GGCUGCAGUAUUUUGACUGUACAAAGGUAGCAUAAUCAAUAGUCUCUUAAUUAGUGACUUGUAUGAAAGAUUGGAUGAAAUAUAUUCUGUCUCUAAUUAAUUUAUAGAAAUUAAUUUUUUAGUAAAAAAGCUAAAAUAAUUUUAAAAGACGAGAAGACCCUAUAGAGUUUAAUAAUUUAUUUAAUUAUUAUUAAUGUAUAAUUUUUAAAAUUAAAAUUAAAUAAAUUAUUUUGUUGGGGUGAUAGAAAAAUUAAAUUAACUUUUUUUAUUUAUUAACAUUAAUUUAUGAUUAGAUGAUCCAUUAAUAAUGAUUAAAAGAAAAAAUUACCUUAGGGAUAACAGCGUAAUUUUUUUUUUUAGUUCAAAUAGGAAAAAAAGUUUGCGACCUCGAUGUUGG
rnacentral:rRNA from 1 species